rnacentral:tRNA from 1 species
AGCCGAUUAGUUUAAGUAAAACGUUUGAUUUCGACUCAAAAACCUGUGGUUAAAUUCCAUAAUCGACUA